AAGUCGUAACAAGGUUUCCGUAGGUGAACCUGCGGAAGGAUCAUUACCACGUAAAAAAAAAAUCCAAACCUUUUUUUAAUCCAACCCGUCCCUUUGUGAAUUUGGAAAAUAUCAAAAACAAAAAGAUAGAGAGAGCAAUGUGUGUGUGUGAGGAGAGCAAGGUUUGGGCCUUUUUUGGCUCAUUCAUUCCUCCUCGCAUUCACCUCUCCCUCUCUGUCUUUUAUUUUGAAACCCCAUUGUCCGAUUUGAAACAGUUUUUGUUCAAAUAGACAUUGUUGAAAAACAAAAACAAAAAAAACCAUGAGACAACUUUUAACGGUGGAUCUCUUGGCUCGU
rnacentral:misc_RNA from 1 species